rnacentral:lncRNA from 1 species
AAGAAGUCAGGCCCCAAAGCCACGGUUUGAGCAAACCGUGCUGCCUGUAGCUCCGUCGUGGGGACGUAAAAACCUGGGAGGCUGCAAACUGUGGAAGCUGUACGCACAGUGUAGCAGACUAGUGGUUAGAGGAGACCCCUCCCAUGACACAACGCAGCAGCGGGGCCCGAGCACUGAGGGAAGCUGUACCUCCUUGCAAAGGACUAGAGGUUAGAGGAGACCCCCCGCAAACAAAAACAGCAUAU